rnacentral:rRNA from 1 species
AUUGAACGCUGGCGGCAUGCUUUACACAUGCAAGUCGAACGGUAGGGUAGCAAUACCUGAGAGUGGCGAACGGGUGAGUAAUGCAUCGGAACAUGCCUAUUAGUGGGGGAUAGCCCGGCGAAAGCCGGAUUAAUACCGCAUACGAUCUAAGGAUGAAAGCAGGGGACCGCAAGGCCUUGCGCUAAUGGAGUGGCCGAUGUCAGAUUAGCUAGUUGGUGGGGUAAAGGCUCACCAAGGCGACGAUCUGUAGCUGGUUUGAGAGAACGACCAGCCACACUGGGACUGAGACACGGCCCAGACUCCUACGGGAGGCAGCAGUGGGGAAUUUUGGACAAUGGGCGGCGAAGCCUGAUCCAGCAAUAGCCGCGUGCAGGAUG